AGACCAGUUUGGUGAAGCAUUCAGAAAUGCCAAGAAUGCCCUCACUUCGUACACAAAAAACCAAAAAAUAAUUGUCUAAAAAAUAGGGUUAAAAACGUAAUAAUUCUGAAUUCUCAACGACAUUAAUUCACAACCAUUGGAUAAGAUACUCACACUUUAAGUUCAUUUUCAGCCUUUAGAUCAAUUAUUCCACAACUGCUAGAAAGACAUCAGAAACCAUGUAUUGCACGAUCAAAGCAGCAACUGCUGCGGUUGACAGACCCGACAUGGAACCGCCAUUUAUCACACGUUCUCGAUCCCCACAGAGCAUACAAAAGGGAAAAUUGGAUGAUUUUCUCAAACUCAUUUUUGUCUUCCGUACAAAACACCCUCCUCCACGCCUUUUAUGUAUGAUUUCUUCAUCUGAAACUGGCAAUCCUGAAAAUAAAUGUUAGGAUUUACACAAAUUGCUAUUCAUUUUGUGGCCUUAGGUACCUUCCAUCACUCUCUCUCUCAAACAUUGCACUGAGGAAGAAUGCGCACUCAUUCUUUUAGACUAAAAACCCAGAAAUCCUAACUUUCAAGGACGAUCCGUCAAUUUCGGGUUUUGUGGAGUCGGAAAAUCGAAGACUAAGAAGCAGAGGAGGAGAUCAGUGAAGAAAAAAGGAGAGAAAGUAAAAGGAAAAAAUGUGAGUUAUUUUUUAUUAUUCUCUUUUUCCAAAAAGCAAUUUUUGGAUAUUUUAUCAUUAUUGUUUGGUUGCUAGGAAAUUGGGUUACUGAGUAGCAAAUAAAUUUGAUUGUUUUGUGGUUUUUGAGUAGUUGCAGGAAGUAAAUUUAAUUAUAUUGUGUCUACUGGAAGGUUGGAAGAACUGAUAUGCUUAUGUAUAUGUAUACAUAUGUUCUGAUUCCUGUUAAACUUUGUAUUAUUUUUGUGUUUGUCAUUGGCAGGUAGCUUUGAAAACAUUAGAUAAAUUGGAUAAUUUUCUCGAACAAUAUUAUCCUUAUCUUGGCCAGAUUUUUGAAAUGGGUUUUCGCUAGAGAUUUUCACUUUCUGCUUCAAUCUAGGUACUCUAUGCUUAAUUGAAUUGUUCAUCACGACCUUAUUUUCAUAUAUAUAGUAAUUUGGAGUAUUUAACUCGAUUGUCAUUUGAACUAUUCGAAAUUAUUUAUAUUUACCAGAUUUUUUAAAUGGGUUUUGGACCAAUUUGUAGAAACCUCUCUGUUUUGUGUAAUGUACUACUACGAUUAGUAGUUUGUUUUUGGGUGGUGAAUUUAUAAGAUUUGGAAUCUUUAUGGAAGAACAAGGAAAGAAAAUCUGCAAAAAAGACAAGAUUAGUCAAAUUCUCCCACCGUUUCAUUUUAAAGAUGUUUAUAGCUUUAGGAACCUACUUUUCAUCCUGAGUUUUCAUCCCACCGGAGAUUGGCGGCUUCAGCUUCAUUGUCGCUGAGACUGGUGGCCCGUUGGUGUCGGGUACGGUUUAUUGAUACGUAGGAGUUUUACAGGUAGGUUGGUUUUUGUAUACCUCUGUGUCGAAAGAAAUAUGUGUAUGUUGUUUGCUGCAAAUGAAUUGAUUUCAUUACAUUUCAGGCUUCAUGACUUGAAUCAACUUGGUGAGUUUUAUGCUCUUCGUUCGAUUAUAGUAUAUUCUUUUACAAUGACUUUAAGUAUUUACAUAGACAGUUUUGCAAUCUGAUUUUUUUUUUUUUAAGUUUUUGCUAAAGAUGCACGAUUCAAUGUGGAUGUGGCCUUACAAUUUUUUUAUUAGAAUAUGAUAUAUUUUAAUUGUUCUCUUAUUGAGUAAAGUUUUGGACGGUUUGGCAAUGUGUAAUUGAAGUUCUGUUUGUCAUUGUAUCGAUGUUGCAGUUUGCUUACUUGCCAAAGCUUUUAACAUGUUUCGGGAGUGAUACACAUGGAGAAUACCAGUGGUUACACAUUCCAGGAAACUGAGAUUGUAUGAUGCUGUUGAAGAUGCCAACAUAAAUGCAAAGAAAGAAGAGGGACAAAUAAAGAAUAGAGGAUUGGCAAUGAAAAUUUGAAGCGUCAAUCAGGAACAAAUGGGUGGAAAUUGCAGGAUUGAUGUCAAUUUUCUUUUCAAAAUAAACAAUGACAUAUAGACUUUAUGGGUAUUGUGAAUAACAUAAAUAUUGUGAUCUAGGUUUUAUAUUUUGACAUUUAAGUUGUUUUGUAUUUUGCUACGAGUACUUAAUGUUUUCAUAUACUCUUUUUUUA